rnacentral:lncRNA from 1 species
GGAGUGCCCAGGGAUGACAAUAAAUUCAUUGGAGAAUGUGGAUCUGGCAUGAGAGAGGGAGAAGAACAGAUAUUGUCUCUCAGAGAGAAUUUUUUUUCAGCCCAGCUCUGCCUCUGGGGUUUGCUGAGAUCCGGAGGGCGGGCAGGGAUGGGUGGGCUGGGACGGAGAGACCCGGGAGUUGUGGCUGUGCCUCUGUGCCCUGGGCGAGCCUGAACAAACUGCCCAGUGCUGCUCCCUGGCUCACUUUUCCCACCUGGAAGUGGGGGAGUAUGCUCACCUUCCUUUCUGCCUUGCGAGGGCUUUGAUUGUGACUUUUGUUGUUGAUGUUGUCUUUUUAGGGCUGCACCCUUGCAUUAUGGAGGUUGCCGGGCUAGGGGUCAAAACGGAGCUGUAGCUGCUGGCCUAUACCACAGCCAGAGCAACGCGGGAUCUGAGCCACGUCUGCGACCUACGCCGCAGCUCAUGGCAAUGCUGGAUCCUUAAUCCACUGAGCGAGGCCAGGGAUUGAACCUGUGUCCUCAUGGAUUCUAGUCAGAGUCAUUUCCGGGGAGCUACGAUGGGAACUUUGAAUGUGACUUAUUUGUAACCAAAUCACUGGGAACCCAAACAAAGCCCAAGAGAUGUGUUUAGACACACAGCCCGUGCCCCCUGCCCCCGCCACUCACUCCAUGACCCUGGGGAGAUGCCCAAAGUCAGGACUGAAGGUGGCCUGGAGAAGCUAACAUGGCUCCAGGGUUAUGGCAGCCUCUGAAAAUGGAGGAAGGUGGAGUAACCGAGUCCUUCCCACACAGGCCAAAACUCAAGGUCAUGCAUGGUUGCCUAAGGGGGCUGCUCUGCCAAACCCCUCUUCACGCUGGUCGAGGACGUGGGCAGGGAAAGGAAGCAGCUUGUCUCAGUGUCCUGGGGCUUGGUGGUUUGUUGUCCUUGCCAUCAGGGACUUCCCUCACAUGACACCUUUCCAUGGUCCAUGCACAAAGUGUCUCCAAGCAGAGGUUCCUGGGCAUCAGGACACAACACUGAACAACACCUAAUUCAUCCAAAUGACCGCACCCUUUUAUAAAGUUACAGUUUCUAUAGAAACUGAGUGUCUGGAAUCCCUUAGUCGUGUGAAUUGCUUGUCAUUUCCUCUCCCUUAAGCCUCAAUUUAUUCAUCUGCAAAAUGAGAGAGGAGGGGUGAUAAGAGGUUAGACCUAGUUAUCUCUAAGGAUAUUCCAGAUCAGUGCUAAUGUUUCAAGUCUAAGAAUCCUUGCCACUUGCUGACAUGGCCCUCUCCUGCCCUGGUGUUGUGGCAACUCUCUACCCACUAGAUUCCAAGGCAGCCCCCACCACUGCUUCUUUCCUAAGACUCCUAUUGAGAUGUUGCUGGUGGCUGAUCAUGAUCCUUGGGGUGCCCAAACCCCACUCUAACAGAUCUGUAUGGCCUUUUCAUUUCACUUCUGCCUCUCAGGUGGAGAUGUCACACUCUUAUGUCAUCCAUCCAUCUAUCCAACCAUCCACCAACCCAUCCACCAACCCAUCCAUCCAUCCACCCAUUCACUCAUCCAUCUAUCUACCCAUUCUAUCCAUCCUAAGAAUGGUUAUUUGGGGUGCAGUUAUAAAACAAACACUCUAAUAGGUGCUAGACAUAGAGAGAUAAGGAAGCAUAGCUCCUUCAUGAAGGAACUUACUUCUAAGAGGCUGUGAAUGGGCCGUAUACAGCAACUAUAAUACAAAGCAAAACAGGGUUUUAGAGUUAGCCCUAGACUUGAUUUCUGCCUCUGCCAUCCAUUCACUUAAUAGCUGUGUGAUCUUGAGUUACUUAACCACUUUGAAUCCGGUUCUUCAUUUGUAAAGUGGAGUUAAUUAUAGCUGGCACACUGAAAGUAGAGAGAACUCUCGAUAAAUGUUACUUUCCUCUCUCCAUAAGAGAAGUACUGCAGUACGGGUAGGAGAGAUUCCUGAGGUCCAGAAGCCUCAAGGAAAGACUAAUGUCAGGACUAACUGGGUGAACUUGGGUGUGUCCCUUCACCUAAUUGGGUUCUUAGGGGAAAAAGGAGGGGCUUGGAUAAAGUCACUCCUCCAAGCUGUGAAUUCUCUUACUCCUCCAGUCUCUUUCCUGCCUACCUUUUCUCACAUUCCUUCCUUCCCCCACCCCCACCUCUUCCCUGGCCUUCAGUCCAUUUCCUGUGGGCAUUUCCUUACUGCACCAGAGCAGAUGUAGGAGGAGGACUCAGCACCUCCUCCCUGGGCCCUGAGCAUCCCAGCUUUGCCCUUAGAAAACUACUUCCUGUGAAGGUGAACAGCUCUCGAUUCCCUUCAGGGCUCCUCGGUGAAGCUGUGAGCUGAAAUGGGCACCCCCUUCUUUUGUUCUCAGGGCGUUGGGGAGGAGCUGAGCAGGGCCCGGGACCAUCUGGCCAGGACAGAGAGCGCCCAGCCACUGGGUGGGGGGUGCCCCAGGGUGAGGGGCCUCUGAACCCUGAGUGACAGCAGCCAGGGAGGACAGCCGAGCUUCUUCCAGGAGUGGGGACAGUUGAUCUGCGGUCUCCACCAGAAGCAAGGGCCCUGCUUCUGGGAAGAGGUUGGGUUGGGUUGGCGGGCAGAGCUUUCCAAGCCGAUGCCUGUGGCUGGAAUUUUCCAUGAAGUUGGGGGAGGGGGGCAGAGUGCAAAGGCAGUCAGGAUCCAGUUACCUUUUCUCUCCGCCUGGACAGAGGUUGCACAGCCUCAGCCAGAACUAGCUUGCUCAGUGAGUUAGGAAGAACCUGCCCACGAAUGGUUACUAAAGGUUACAAGGAAUCCUUCCUGUCCUUCAAAUGGCUCUCCUCUUUCACCCUGAGCCCCCUGGUAAAACCAGCCUUCCUGGCAGAAGCCAUACCUUACAAUAAUGUCAGCCCCCACUCUUUGGGGAGAGCUACUGAGGGCCAGCUGAGAGUUGGAGAGUUGUGCCAUCUCUCUCUGCAGAUGGCAAGGGAAAGUGCCAGGGGUCUCAGGAGAAGGGGACAGAGAAGAAGCAAGGUGAACAAGACCCAAUCUCCUGAGCACACUCCAUGUCCACAGCCACCAGGAAGCCCUCACUAUCCCGCCAGCCUGGGGAGCAGUAGCGUGGACCAACCGAUGGCUCUGGGGCUGCCCCAAGCAGGGGCCCCGAGCUGCAGCGGUUGAGUGGCGGGGCCGGAGGGGAAGGGGCAGGGGCAUGAAGUUUGGCUGGACCUGGGUUCUCAUCUGGCUUCUUUGCUUCUAGCUGGGUCGCCUUGGGCAGGUGGCCUGUCCUCCCCAGGCCUGGGCUCUUUGUCUGUGAGACAGUUUGGGUUGUGAGGAGGAAAAGAGGUGAUACAGGAUGUUUAGAGUUGCUCCUGGCACGUGGUGAGCACACAGGGGGACAAGGAAUCUUGCUGCUGCCCCGGGUCCCAUGACACCCCUGCCUUCCUCUGUGCUCAUUCGCCUGGCUGCCCAUCAGUCGGUCUUUCUCACUAAGGGUCUUCUCUCUGCCCCUUCUCCAUCACUGAGCUCAUCUCUCCAUCUCUGGCCGCUGUCCUGUUAUCUCCCUGCCUAUCUAGCUCUCAUCUCCCCUCCCUGCCUGUCUCCAUCCCUCUCAGGCCCUCCAUCCCCAUCCUCCCCGCUCGCUCUGGCUAUCACCUUGCCAUCUGUUUGGCAGUCUGGCAGAGACCCAGUGGCUCCCUGCCCUUGUCCAUCCCUAUCCCCCUCCCCAUGGCCCCCUCCUUGGGGAGGGGACAUCCCUGGCUGCACCCCCUCUCCAUACCCAGCUCCCUCUGCCCCUUCCUUGCUUCUCACAGCCCUGGCCACAGCCCCUUCCUGGCGUCCCUGCCCAGGCAGGGCAGGCGGCAGUGGAGUGGAGCAAUGCAGGCAGAUGAGGGCAGAACUCGGUCUCCAGAGGCGAGGGGCGGGCCGCUAAUUCCCCCGCUCUGGGUGGAGGAUGCAGAGGCCUCAUUCAAUUAUGUCACAUCCACUCAGCCGCUCCACCCAGCUGAUGCAGAGCAGCCCGCUGGCCCUUCCCUGCCAGGACCUAAUGGAGAGAGAUCUCCUCAGCCUGGCUGACCACGGGGUCCUCCUGGAGUGGCCAUGGACCCGGCGUGUCUGGCCCUGGAGUUCUCAGCCUGCCUGCAUUCAGUAUUUACCCUAAUUAUACCCAGCAACUGGCCUCUGGACUUUGUCCCUCUCACCUUAAUCACCGCGGAAUUCGAUCUCAGCGCCUCUCAUUCCAUUACUGCCCCCCACUUGGCUGAUGCCUGCAGGAACCAGGCAGGCCCUGCCUCUCCCAUAGGACGUGAGGGCUGACGGUGAGUAGGCCUGGGAGGUGGCCAGGCACAGCCUGCCUCCUCAGUCUCAAACACGGACAUGUGGCGUUGCCGUGGCAUUGAUCCCAGGCAUCAGGUCUUUGCUGACUAAAGGCUAUGCCAGGUACUGUGAGAGACCCCAGACAAAGCCCAAAUCCUGCUCUUUUCCUCGAGAAGCUUAAUCUGGGGAGAUGACACCAACAGGAAAAAAAAAAAGACAAUUGGGGCAGGGCUGAGCAUAAAUGGAAUGGGAUUCAGAGACGGGAAGGUCAAAUAACUAGAGAAACCAACAUUUACUGGGAAUUCACCAAGUCACAGAAUCCCCCGUAUGUUGUCAGCCAUUUACUCCUUACCUGACUAUGAGGAAGGGACCAUUCCCGUUUUCAGGUAGGGACACUGAGGCCCAGAGACAUUGAGAGGCGCAUCUGAGCUCAAUCAGUAAGUGACGGAACCGGUGCCCAGGGCCUUGGGGCCAAGACGUUCCUUCCCCACCAUCCCUCAGGAGCUGGAUUGUCCAGGGAAAGCUCUCGGCAGGACCCAGUGGGCAGAGGGAAGGAGGAAGGACAGAUGGGUAGGGGGACAGCUUGAGCGGAGCUGAUGAACAAGAAUGAGGACAGUUAAGGGCACUUGCUGCGGGGAAUGUGGGAAGGGGGGCUGGGGAGAUGGGGAGCCUUGAAUAACUCCCAGGAGCAUCUGGACCUCAAAGUUGGGUAGAGGGGACCACCCUCAAGAGAAUGGCCAGUGAGCCAGUAGAGCAGGGUGAAUAGUGUCCACCCCAAAGGACAUGUCCAAGUCCUGACCUUCCAUAUCCAGGAGCGUCACCUUAGAAAUCGGGUCUUUGCAUUUCUGAGGAGUCUCAGGAUAAGGUCGUCCUGGAUUUAGGAUGGGCCCCCAAUCCAACGAUCCUUAUAAGAGAGAAAACAGGGUGAUUGGAGACAGAGAUACAGGCAGGGCCGUGUGAAAGAAGAGGCAGAGAUCAGAGAGAUGCUACCGCAGGCCAAGGAAGGCCAGAGCCACCAGAAGCUGAAAGAGGCAAGGAGGGUUCUCUCCUCCAGCCUUCGGAGGGAGCACAGCCCUUUGCUGACACCUUGGACUUCUGAGAAAACGUCUUUUUUGUUUUCUACCACGCAGGUUGGGGUAAUCUGUUACAGCAGCUGCAGGAGACUCAUAGAGCCGGGAACUCCUCUGUCCAGCAAGGGAGUGGGACAGGCAUGGAGGCUGCUGGGGAGCUCGGGUUAGGGUUAGGGUUAGUUUGGGCACCGCCCCACAUGCCCCACUGGAGACCCCUGAGGCCUGGCGGGGUCCCCCACACAUGCAGACUCACAGAAGUAGGACUGGUCAGAGGAUUUAGUCGCUUACUCCUUGCCUCUGACCAGGAGGACAUGCCGAACCCAAGAACAGGGGACACACAGACCCCAGACAGGCUGAUGGAGGCAGUUUUAGGACAGACAGGACACUGGCCCUCUUUACACCGUGGGGGCCAAGUGCAUGGAGCACAUCACCCUGGAGAGGAGACCCUCUGGAAAUACAAAUGGGUCCACCCGGAGGGUCACUCACUUUGUGGGUGACAGUGGUUCCAGGGCAUGAUGUUAAAGGGAAUUCAGGAUGUUUCAGGAUGAAAGUGUGGGAAACCUACCACCCCCAACAUGUUCCUUUCCAUAAACCAUCCCUUGAGGCCACUUCCUGGGUAGAGCCCGGGCCUGAUAAAGCACAGCUUCACCUCGGAUGGGAAACUCUCACCCGAUAGAGUGGGAAACCCAGGCCGGUUGUUCUGUACGAAUUAGUUGUGUGAUUUCGUCCCCACUUUCUCCCCCAUGAGUCCCGAUGUAUGAUGGACCUAGUGUACACGCGCUAAGGCUGGUCCCCCCAGCGGCUCCUGGGCUCCAUCCCAAGGUGCUGAAAGGGCAGAAUGGACCAGCUAGGCCUGAGUUUCCUUUCGAGAAAAGUUCAUGAGGGAUUGAGAAAUCUCUGCAAGUGAGGCCCGGAGGAUGUCCGGGCGUCAAGGGAAGGGUGUCCUCAAAUGAGGGCUAAGGACACAGAAAUGAGGGCUUGAGCCACCCUGGAAGGCGCCUCCUUCUGGAGGAGGCUGGGCCUAUGGAAAUAGGCACCGAAGUAGUUGAGGAGGGGCCGCUGUGGGGCCACAUGCUUGACCACAGACCUCAGUGCCGGAAUGAUCCUCUUUCCUACCGGCUGAUGGCAGCUCUGUUUGGUUGUGGGUUUUUCUCCCGGAAAGGGAGGGAUGUUUUCCAUCACACCCUCCACCUGAACCAUCUUCUCUUACACCAUCCUCCCUCCCUCCCUCCCUCCCUCCCCCUCUACCAGCCAGUCCGAGUGAGACCCACCCACACAACUGUCAGCACACAAGCGUCCCUCCUGCUUCUGGGUUCUUUAAAAGAAUACUCUUGGGGAGUUUCCGUCAUGGCGCAGCGGAAACGAAUCCGACUAGGAACCGUGAGGUUGUGGGUUUGAUUACUGGCCUUGCUCAGUGGGUUAAGGAUCCAGCGUUGCCAUGAGCUGUGGUGUAGGUCACAGAUGCGGCUCGGAUCUGGUGUGGCUGUGGCUGUGGCUGUGGCAUAGGCUGGCAGUUGUAGCUCCAUUAGACCCCUAGCCUGGGAACUUCCAUGUCUGCGGGUGCGGCCCUAAAAAGCAAAAAAAAAA